GAUGAACGCUAGCGGCAGGCCUAAUACAUGCAAGGCUAGGGGGCAGCAAUGUCACCGUCGAACGGGUGCGUAACGCGUAUGCAACCUACCUAUCACUGGGGGAUAGCCCGGGGGAAACCCGGAUUAAUACCGCAUGAUACAUAGAGAAUACCUAUUUUUUAUGUUAAAGAUUUAUCGGUGGUAGAUGGGCAUGCGUCUGA
rnacentral:rRNA from 1 species